CCUACGGGAGGCAGCAGUGGGGAAUAUUGCGCAAUGGGCGAAAGCCUGAUGCAGCGACGCCGCGUGAGGGAUGAAGGUCUUCGGAUCGUAAACCACUGUCAGCAGGGAAGAACGGUCUCUGUGCUAUUCAGCAGUGCAUUGACGGUACCUGCAAAGGAAGCACCGGCUAACUCCGUGCCAGCAGCCGCGGUAAUACGGAGGGUGCGAGCGUUAAUCGGAAUUACUGGGCGUAAAGCGCUCGUAGGCGGUAUGUCAAGUCAAGGGUGAAAUCCCCGCGCUCAACGUGGGAACUGCCUUUGAAACUGGCAAACUGGAGUGUGUGAGAGGAUAGUGGAAUUCCAGGUGUAGGAGUGAAAUCCGUAGAGAUCUGGAGGAACAUCAGUGGCGAAGGCGACUAUCUGGAACAUAACUGACGCUGAGGAGCGAAAGCGUGGGUAGCAAACAGGAUUAGAUACCCCUGUAGUC
rnacentral:rRNA from 1 species